AACAUGUAUUCCUUCUCCCUAAACGCAACUUUGCAAAAGGCCGAUGUGCUGCUGUCAGAUGGAUUUCAAUGUUGACGCAGCCCGUGUAUCCAGCGAUUCAUUCCGGACAAUUCAUACUUCCAGAAUGAAGAAUUGACUCUCAGAGAAAGAGGAGCUUUGCCUGCGUCGUGGAUGUGUAUGGGAACUGUCCUGUCACUAACCUGGCACAAACUCAACUGGACUACGCCAAGCAGAACAUCUUUUGUGCCGGUCAAAAAUAUUUUGAUCUGGCCCUGCUGAUUUCCACUGGAUUGGACCUUCAAGGAACUGUAAAACCUCAAAAGCUCCCCUGCCACCCCCCGCCCCGUUUCAGGGUCCUCUUUAAUCCAGCAGUCUCCAUUUUGGAAAUGGGCUGGAAAGACUCACGCGAGGGUCAUACAGCAAGAGAAACAGGCCCAAAUCAUCAGUCGUGUCUGAAGAUAAAAACAGUUUUUAAAAAAAUGAAAUAAAGCUGGAUCAUCUUUCUUUUUAAGCCCCGGCCCCACUGUCAUUCACUGCUGUUGAAUCUUUUCAAGUGCGGGACAAAUGUUUAUGAUUGCCAUUUGUAUGUGGCAUUGUUUUCGGUGGCCUGGGCUCCAUUAACAUGGAAAUCACAUCAUUAUUGUUCCCAUAGAUUGCCGUGUGAGCGUCCAUAAUGAAUUAUCUGAAGUUCUAAUCAUGAGUUUCAUUUGAUUUCUCCGCGAGAGAUUUCCAUUUGAGCAUUUUGACGCAUGACCGUCACGAGCAUCUCUUUCGUCCUCCUCAUGCUUUGGCCCAUGCAGGUGGAAUUUAUGAUCAAUAAGUACGGUCUCUCAUAUGUACUCCUCAAGUCUGUCUCCAUUGAAAUCAUGGUCACUCGCUUCAUCAUCAUCACAGAUCAUUUGGAAGAAUAUCUUGCUCCAGAGGAACAACCUUGAUUCUUUUACGCUCUUGUUGAAGAGACUCACACAAAAAGUCUCCCCACUCUUACCAACACACCUCCCUUACAGUAUGCGUGCCCUUUUUUUCUGCUUUGGUCUUUAUAUUUUGUAUGUGUAUAUAAAUCAAUCUGAAAUGUUAUAGUUUUGUACAUGUAAUUUUUAUGGUGUGUGAAUAUUUUAAUAAAAAAUGGGUGGACUUUGCAAUUUA